CUAGCUUAAGCAAUGGCGCAUGUGUGUAUUUCUCGUCAGAAAGUGUAGAGAGCCGUUUGGACCGUGUAUCACAGAGAAAGUACGUGACCGAGUGAAAGUUAGAGAACGUACCGGUAACUGAGCCGACUGACGGACGUUUGUGACUGAAGACUUGUUUAUUUCUCGUCAGUCGAGGGUUUGUGUACAUUGACUCCAGUGUAGUGGGAGCCACCCUAGACGACCACGAGUCACCAGGGGAGAGAGAGAGCCGUGUGUGUGAGCUGCAUCCAGGUGUGGGAUGAGGCUCUCAAGCUACAAGCUAAAGUGCCAAAAGAGAGUCAUCAUCAACAGAAGCACCAGGAGUAUUGAAUCCACAAUCACUAUCACCG